CAUUCACUAUGGUAUUUGCUAUCUUUAGAACUAUGUAUUAUUUCUUUCUCUACAAUGUUGUCGCUUUUACAGGGAGUAAAAGCACGAAAAUAUUUAUAUGACAUGAACAAACUUGCUUGAUGACAACUUUGCUCAGUCAAAUACUUAUUAUCUAUCAAUUACGUAUUUACAGAAGUCUUGAUUUGAACUACAUUUAUGCGUUUAUUUGCUAAACCUAGUCUUCCCCAAUGUUGUUUUCUUCUUAUUUCAGACAUCCUAAUGUAAUUAUAUUGACAACAUCGAACAUAACUAGAGCCAUAGACGUUGCGUUCGUGGACAGAGCCGACAUCAAACAGUAUAUUGGUCCGCCAUCAGCCAAAGCUAUUUACAAAAUUUACCAUUUGUUUGUAUGUAACUUAUGUCUUCUUGUGCACGUGAUCAACGAAAUGGCUGCCGGUCAAUUAUGUUUUCUGGCCAAAAGGAACGCCGAAAUGGCUUACCGCAACCUGUCAUCAUAUACAAUAUAAAACAACAAUUUGCCUCGUGAAGUAUAUCCCCUCUUCUCAGUACUUUGUACCUUUACGUCUACUGCUUUAUUUCCAUACCACAAUAUAGUCGUUUGUGCAAGUUAUACAAACAUCUUGCUUAAAUAGAGAGGUGUGCAGCUAUAUAGAAAUUGAUUGCAAACGAUUGCAUUGUAGAUAAUUUUUUAAUAAUCAAAAUUAAUGUUCACCGUUUCAUCACAGACCAGUAUCAUAUCACCAGCCACUCAAAUUUUGGAUUUAAGCUUUGUCGACAACGAUGUAACACACUGUAGUCUUGAAUUAAAGAAGAUAGCCGAAAAAAAGUUAUCAACUAAGUGGUCGAACUCUUCGUAAACUACCAUUCCUUGCACAUGCGCUGUAUUCGAAAGCGCAAACGAUAACCUUAGAAGAGUUUU